AUGAAGCAGAUAGAAUCUUUUUUCAGGGUUAUCCCUGUAAAUCAGUCUGGACCCCAAGUUUGUGAAUCUGAAGUAAAUGUAACCAUUUCAGAAGCUAGUGUUCCUGAAGUAUUAAGCCAAGAGGCUGAUACAAAUAAUUUGCAAGAUGAUAUUCCUCAAAUAUUUAAUCCAGCUAACAUUGAACCUGAUCCUGGCCUUCGGAAACAAAUUGAAGAGUAUGCUACCCCGGAAAUCAGAGAUGUAGUGAGAAGGGUGUAUAUCUCGAAAGGUGCAUGUCAGCCUAAAGAUCAUGAUUUUGAAUGCAAUGAAGAUGGAAGGGUAUUUAGAGAAAUAUGGUACAAGGAGUUUGAUUGGCUAGAGUAUAGUGUAGCCAAAAAAGCCGCUUACUGUUUUCACUGUUUUCUUUUCAAGAAACCAACAAUCAGUUCAAAGUUUGGGGCUGAAGUCUUCACCAAGACUGGGUAUACGAACUAGAAGAAAGCAGUUGAAAACUUCAGCCUCCAUGUAGGUUCAACAAAUAGUGCUCACAACAAUUCAAGAAGGCAUUAUGAAGAUUUUAAAAAUCAGAAGCAAAGUGUUGUAAGGUUUCUGCUUAGGCAAGGUCUUGCUUUUCGUGGUCACGACGAGUCUAAGAAUUCGAGAAACAAGGGUAAUUUCCUUUAGAUGUUAGAGUGGUAUGCUCAAAGAUGUAAGGAUGCAGCUGAUGUUCUCUUUGAUAAUGCUCCUGGAAAUCAUCAGAUGACUUAUCAUGAAAUUCAGAAGCAAUUGGUGCAAGCUUGUGCAGAAAAAACUAUUGAAGUCAUGAUGAAUGAGCUUGGGGAUGGUCAAUUCUCACUUCUUGUUGAUGAAUCCCGUGAUGCGUCAAUCAAGGAGCAAAUGGCUGUGAUUUUGAGGUUCUUGAAUAAGCCAGGGGAGACUUUAGAAAGGUUGCUUUGUGUUGAGCAUGUUGUUGACACCACAUCUGCUUCUCUCAGACGAUCUUUGGAUAAAGUGUUUGCCACCCAUAAUUUGAGCAUGUCUAGGCUGAGAGGGCAAGGAUAUGAUGGAGCCUCAAAUAUGCGUGGGCAACUUAAUGGCUUAAAGAAACUUGUGCUAGAUGAUAAUCCUCAUGCAUUUUAGGUACAUUGUUUUGCCCAUCAACUUCAACUAGUGGUUGUGGCUGUUGUGAAAGGAGUUCUUGCUAUUAGUGAUUUCUUUGGCUACACAAAUAUCAUUGUGACCAUGGUAAGUGCAUCUUGUAGAAGAAAAGAUGCGCUACUACAGAAACAUCAUGACAAGAUUGUACUCCAAUUGGAGAAUGGGGAGAUUAUGAAAGGAUGGGGCAAACAUCAAGAGACAACUAUAGCACGACCUGAUGACGACAACAAAGGCAAAGCUUCAGGUUUGAUGAAACAAAUGGAAGUAUUUGAAUUCGUACUCAUAUUGCACUUGAUGAUUAAAGUGCUUGGUCUGACUAAUGAUUUGUAGCAAGCAUUGGAACAAAAGGACCAAAACAUAGUCAGUGCAAUGAACAUGAUUGUCUCUGUGAAAAGGUUAUUGCAGCAUUUGAGGGAUGAAGGGUGGGAGCCACUUUUGGAGGCUGUAAUUGCAUUUUGUGUUCAGAGAGAUAUACCGGUGCCAAAUAUGAAUGAUAAUAUUUCAGCAAGGGGUUAUCCAAGGAGUUCAUGUGAGUCAGUUACUUGCUUCCAUCACUACAAGGUAGAAAUAUUCAAUGAGGUGAUUGAUAGAAACAUAGCCGAGAUGAACAAUCGAUUUAGUGAAACAACAACCCGAUUAUUGAUUUGCAUUUCAUGUCUAGUUCCUAGAGACUCAUUUAGUAGCUUUGACCAUGACAAGAUAAUUGAGCUUGCAAGCAUUUACUCAGCAGACUUUGAUCCAGAAGAACGGCAAUUUUUGAGUGGUCAGCUUGACAUAUACAUUGAUGUGAUGAAAAGAUCACCUGUUUUUUGUGGUUGUGAUAGUCUAUCAAGUCUCUCUGUCAAGUUAGUUCCAACUUAGGAGUAUUUGCGUUUCCCAUUGGUUUACCGACUCAUCAAACUUGCAUUGAUAUUGCCGGUUGCGACUGCAUCAGUUGAAAGGGCUUUCUCAGCCAUGAAUAUAAUAAAAACAGAUUUGAGAAACAAGAUAGGUGAUGAAUGCUUGAAUGAUACGAUGGUUUGCUAUGUUGAGCGAGAUAUAUUUGCUGGGAUUGAAGACAAGAAGAUUAUCGAACAUUUUCAUGGCCUAAGAGAUCGUAGAGGCCAUCUUCCAAAUCCUCCACGUAUAACUAAGCUUAAUGGUAAAUAG
rnacentral:rRNA from 1 species